CGCGGCCGAAGAGGACGAAGCCGCGCCGCGCGGAGCGGGAUCAGCCUGGCUGUCCUCUGUAUCCGCUCAACCUGACGCAGGAGCUGUCCAUCCGCAGAGGGUUUGCCUCUGAGAGGGGAUCCCAGGCCGGAGAGCAUCUGUCCUCAGCGCCUCCUCCCCAGAGCUGAGGACGUUUGCCAUCCUGAGCAGGAGGCACCUGGAAGCAUCUGCUUAUGAACUGACCCCACAGCCUCCCAGGGACCAGACCAGAGACGGUGUCCAGAGCUUGGAAGUCUCAGAGGGACUCCUGGGAUGACGUCUUUCAAGCUGGAGGGUUGUAUGGCCUGAGACUGUUCAUCUUAGCUGCGUGAUCGAACCCACAAACAAUCAAAAUGUAUUCAUUCAACAUGCAUUUAGAGAAAAAGGUUUGCUCAGCAAGUGGGUAACAUGUAGAAGAUCAAAAGAAGAGGCAUCAUCCUACUAUUAGUCAGGACUCCUCUGGUUGUGAGUAACAGAAGUCAAGCUCCUGCUCCGGUGAAAAGGAACCUGCUUGGAUGCUCACAUCGCCAGGGGAGGGAGGGCGCGGGGGCAGCCAGCCUCAGCAGCGGCUGGAGUUGCAGAUCCAAAUGGCACCAGGAGCUGGGCUCGUGAUCAGCUCUGUGGAGGCCCAAGUGCCAGUUCUGUUGGCCCAGACUGGCUACCUGCAGGGGACACAGCUGCUGACAGCCUCCGUGCCUUUGCUACCAGCGAAAGACCGAUUCACGUUCUCUUUGACCCCACAUUUUUAAAAAAUCCUUGGAAGUUUAGGGAUUUCCCUAGUGGUCCAGUGGUUAUGACUCCGCGUUUCCACUGCAGGGGGCACGGGUUCCAUCCCUGAUCGGAGAACUAAGAUCCCACAUGCUGCGCACGGUGGCUGAAAAAAAAAAUCCUUGGAAGUUUAAGCAGGGGUGAGAUCAGUGUUUGCAGAUUGAGAGCACACCACAGCCUUCUCUUCCUGCUUCAGAUCCCUCCAUGUGAUAGAACAAAUAUUAGUAAAUAUCCAUGUAGGCAAAGAUGCCUUUAGUGAGUCAUGAACCAUGAGGAAUUCCCAAAGGGUGGAGUGAAAAUGGGAUUAGACUGAAAAAGGAGACAAUGGCCAAAAUUGUCCCCAGGAGGUAGAGAGGUUCUAGGUGUGCUCUGAGCCUAGAUGUGACAGAUGAGGAGCAGGAAGGGAUUCUGGGGUGACCACCACAGUUUGGGGGAUAAAUGAGGAAGAAGAAUGAAUACAACUGUUAAGUUUCCUCUCUUGUUGAGGAGGAAAGGUAGACCCUUUUUAAUCUAAGCACUGUAGAGAAUUACAUGUUUAAGUACAUGUGUUUAAAUAUUUAAAGAUUGCCGCUGGAAAAAGGGUCAACAAACUAUGGCCUGCAGUUCAGAUCUGGGCCACCAUUUGUUUGUGUAAAUAAAGUUUUAUUGGAACACAGCCAUGCCUGUAUGUUAAUGUAUUCUCUAUGGCUGCUUUCAUGCUAUAGUGGCAGAGCUGAGUAGUUGCAACAGAGGCUCUAUGGCCCACAAAACCUAAAAUAUUUACUAUAUGGCCCUUUGUGGAAAAAGUUUGCUGAUCUCUGCUCUAGAAAAAUGAAAAUAAAACAUAACGUCCAAUCUAUUGUAGAAAAAUAGAUGUAUCUAACCAAACAAAAUGAAUCCAAUAAAAGGAAAAAUAAAAGAAAUAUGGUAAAUAAAUAUGGAAUUAGUCUAAACAUCAGUAAGCACAAUAAAUGUGAACAAGUUAAAUUCACUAAUUAAACAAUAGUCUCAAAACUUGUUUAAAAUUUUUUUUAAAAUAAAUUUUAUUUAUUUAUUUAUUUAUUUUUGGCCGCAUUGGGUCUUCGUUGCUGCACGUGGGCUUUCUCUAGUUGCGGCGAGUGGGCUUCUCAUUGCGGUGGCUUCUCCUGUUGCGGAGCUCAGGCUCUAGGUGCGCGGGCUUCGGUAGCUGUGGCACGUGGGCUCGGUAGUCGUGGCUCGCGGGCUCUAGAGCACAGGCUCAGUAGUUGUGGUGCACAGGCUUAGUUGCUCCGCGGCAUGUGGGAUCUUCCCAGACCAGGGAUCGAACCCGUGUCCCCUGCACUGGCAGGCGGAUUCUUAACCACUGCGCCACGAGGGAAGCCCUAAAAAAUUUUUAAAUGAGACUGAAAAAAAAAAAGAGCUUAAGUAUGAACAUAAAAGGAUAAGGAAAGAAACCCCUAAUGAACCAUAGCAAAGAAGGCAAAUAUAGCAAUAUUAAUAUCAGAUAAAGGAGAACUAAAAGUGAAAAAUAUUUUAGGUAUAAAGGAAUUGUUUAAACCUGUAAAAGGAAUAUUCCACCAAAAAGUUAAAAGCCCAUCGACUUUCUGUACUUAACAAGGUAGCUUCAAAUACAUUAAAUAAAAAUUGAUGAUAUUAUGAGUGAAAAAUGACAAAUAUAGAGUAACAAUGGUGGGCUUUAAAAAUCUGCAAGAUAUCCCUUGUGGUGUAUAUGUAGACGUACACAGGUGAUGAAAUUGUAUAGAAUUUAAUACAUACACACACCAUACAUACCAGUAAGUACAAUAGAACUGGGGAGAUGGGAUUAAAAUCUGUAGAUCGUAUCAAUGUCAAUAUUCUGGUUGUUAUAGUUUUAUAAAAAGUUAUCAUUGGGGGAGACUGGCAGUGUACAAGGGAUUUCUCUGUGUUAUUUCUUACAACUGCACGUGAAUCUGCAGUGAUCUCAAUGAAAUUUUCAAUAGAAAAUUCUUCAAAGACAACAUAUUAGGUACAAAAAACCAAGAAACUCUUAGGUUAAAUGAGGAGGUCACAGUGAACAUUUUAAACUACAGUAUUUUAAUGAAUGUCAGUUAGAGCCCUAAAUGUGAAAGCCUAUGGAUGAAACCAAAUCAGUGCUCAAAG